GCGCGUCUAUAAUGCAAGUCGAGCGGACAGAUGGGAGCUUGCUCCCUGAUGUCAGCGGCGGACGGGUGAGUAACACGUGGGUAACCUGCCUGUAAGACUGGGAUAACUCCGGGAAACCGGGGCUAAUACCGGAUGCUUGAUUGAACCGCAUGGUUCAAUUAUAAAAGGUGGCUUUUACCUACCACUUACAGAUGGACCCGCGGCGCAUUACCUAGUUGGUGAGGUAACGGCUCACCAAGGCAACAAUGCGUACCCAACCUGAAAGGGUGAUCGGCCACACUGGGACUGAAACACGGCCCAAACUCCUACGGGAGGCACCAUUAGGGAAUCUUCCGCAAUGGACAAAAGUCUGACGGACCACCGCCCCGUGAGUGAUGAAGGUUUUCGGAUCGUAAAACUCUGUUGUUAGGGAAAAACAAUUACCGUUCAAAUAGGGCGGUACCUUGACGGUACCUAACCAAAAAGCCACGGCUAACUACUUGCCACCACCCGCGGUAAUACUUAGGUGGCAAGCGUUGUCCGGAAUUAUUGGGCGUAAAGCGCGCGCAGGCGGUUUCUUAAUUCUGAUGUGAAAGCCCCCGGCUCAACCGGGGAGGGUCAUUGAAAACUGGGGAACUUGAUUGCAAAAAAGGAGAGUGAAAUUCCCCGUUUCCCGUUAAAAUGCUUAAAAAUGUGGAGGAACACCAAUUGCAAAGGCAACCU
rnacentral:rRNA from 1 species